rnacentral:rRNA from 1 species
UACGAAGGGUGCAAACGUUGCUCGGAAUUAUUGGGCGUAAAGCGCACGUAGGCGGCUUGGCAAGUCGGAUGUGAAAUCCCUCGGCUCAACCAAGGAAGUGCAUCCGAAACUGCUGAGCUUGAGUACUUAAGAGGAUCGCGGAAUUCCCGGUGUAGAGGUGAAAUUCGUAGAUAUCAGGAGGAACACCGGUGGCGAAGGCGGCUUCCUGGACACUUACUGACGCUGAGACGCGAAAGCGUGGGGAGCAAACAGG